rnacentral:rRNA from 1 species
CGGGAGGCAGCAGUUAGGAAUCUUCGGCAAUGGACGAAAGUCUGACCGAGCGACGCCGCGUGGAGGAUGAAGCCUUUCGGGGUGUAAACUCCUUUUCUGCGGGAAGAUAAUGACGGUACCGCAGGAAUAAGCACCGGCUAACUACGUGCCAGCAGCCGCGGUAAUACGUAGGGUGCAAGCGUUAUCCAGAUUUACUGGGCGUAAAGCGCGCGCAGGCGGAUGAUUAAGUCAGCUGUGAAAGCCCCCGGCUCAACUGGGGAGGGUCGGCUGAAACUGGUCAACUUGAGGGCAACAGAGGAGUGUAGAAUUGCGGGUGUAGUGGUGAAAUGCGUAGAUAUCCGCAGGAAUACCGGUGGCGAAGGCGGCACUCUGGGUUGUACCUGACGCUGAGGCGCGAAGGCUAGGGGAGCAAACAGGAUUAGAUACCCUGGUAGUCCUAGCAGUAAACGAUGUACACUAGGUGUGGGGGGUAAUGACCCCCUCCGUGCCGUAGCUAACGCAUUAAGUGUACCGCCUGGGGAGUACGGUCGCAAGGCUAAAACUCAAAGGAAUUGACGG